rnacentral:rRNA from 1 species
AUGGGCAGCCGGUUUGUGAAUCUGUUGGCCAUGAGCUGCAACGGCGGCCCCAGACACUUCAGCCUUCACUGCUUGAACCCGGCAAACUUAUUUCGCCCAGCCCGGUCACGGCCAGCGCUUCGAGCAGUUCAUCGACGGCCAGCGGACGCCCCGCUGCCUCCGCCGUCCCUGUCAUUCGACUGGCCCUGCAGGAAGGGCGAAGAGGCGUGGAUGAAUUUCAUGGCUUUCGGCCCCGGCCGGGAAAACCUCCUCGCCGUGGACCAAAUCGGCAGGAGCUUCUUGUACAACCACGACUCGCGCUUGCUCCGCACUGGGAUGCCCAAGAUGCGCAAGCCCAUUAUCGACCCCAUCUCCGUUGCCGUGGGCGACAGCCUAUACGUCAUGAGCGGCAACCCUGGCCGGCUGCCCGAUCGGGGCUGCUUCCAGGCUCUCCUCAACACCCGCCUGCCUGCUAGCCACGCCCAAGACUGGUGCUGGUAUUCCCUCCAGCCACCGCCUUUCUUUGCCGACGACGAUGACGGGGUGGAUCGAUCCAGCUGCCGCGAUGCCCCAAUGCCCUUUGAAAUCAGUGCCUACGCCGUGGUUGACGAUUCACAGAUCUGGAUAUCCACAUCUGGCGCCGGCACAUACUCGUAUGACAUCGCGAGUGGCGCGUGGAGCAAACUAGGCAACUGGGCACUGCCGUUCAGAGGUCGCGCCGAGUACAUCCCUGAGCACAACCUCUGGUUUGGCUUCACACCCGACGAUUUGCUGCUCUGCACAUCGGACCUCACUGCCUCGUGUGAGUUGAGGCCGCCCGUGCUGCAGGAUGUGUGGACAGACGUGAACAGGCCAGAAGAUUGGACCCUGACAGACGCCAGCAUUGUGCCGCUCGGCUCCGGUCAAGUCUGCGUUGCCAGGUUCUUUCUUACCUGCCCAGAGGAGAGCAUUGAGGAUGUGUAUGGCUAUGCCCUUGAGAAAACAGAGAGUUUUGCUGUUCUCGAGGGCGUCAAAUUGUUAAAGGCUGGGUGGGCUCAUCUCCGGAUGGUUAAGCACAAGUCGGAGCGUUACGUCUUCGGCCGUGACCUUGUCAUACCGCUGUGA